GGCGUCCCCGCCCAGGCCCGGGAGACAGAGGCGCUGACCCCGGGACAGAGCCUGGCUUUGUGCGGGAGGCAGACGCGCCCCGCGCGCCGCCCCCGAAACAUUCGCACCCCAUGCUGAGGCGCGCGUCUGGGAGUCCGUGGGCGCCCCGAGAAAUGAAGUUGAAAAUAGCACAGGAGCCCACUAUCACUGUGUGAACAUUUUGUGAAUGAAGACAUGUAUGAAAGGAUGUUUGGAGGCUUCAAGAAACGAAAGCCGAGAGUCUAGCUAGACCAGAGCCAUCCAGCCCAGGAGCGAUGGCCACGUGUGGCCGCUGGACACGAGAGACGUGGCCAGUCCAAACUGUGCAGUGCGGUAAGGGCAGAACACAUGCCAGCUUUCGAAGGCUUAGUAAAGAAUGCAAAAUUUCUCAAUUGGGAAUUUUUGUAUGAAUUUCAGGUUGAAAAAAACAUUUUGGAUAUAUGGUGUUAAAUAAACAUGAUUACAAUGACUUUCGCUGUCAGCCUCCCGGAGGCUCAUUUUGCUCCUCUGGGCCACAGCCAGCUCAGAGGGUUGCUCUAGGAAAUAUCUACACGUUCUUGAAGCACAGGUUUAUGUGCCAGGCACUGUACUAAGUGCUGGGGACACGGCGUUAAGACCAGGCCCUCACGGAGCCCUCACUCUCUGAGGAGGAACAAUAAGUCAGAGAGCGCGCGAGUGCAGCCCUUCAGGCAAAGGAUUUCAGGCCCAGGUCAGGAAGGCCUUGUCUGAGGAGUCUGAGAAGAAGUCAAUUGACAACAGCUAGAACAUCUAGGUCAGGCACUCCAGGCCGACACGACAAAGCAGGUGCAAAGGCCCCAGGGCGGGAACCAGCGUGGCUUGUUCACAGAACAAGGAGGUAGAUCGCUUGCCCUUGGGACCAAAGGAAGGCUCUGGAUUUUAUUCUAGGGGCAGUGGAAGCCGUUGGAGGGCCUCAGGCAGGAACACAAGGUGUCGUGGCAGAAAGGAAGAAGGGGCCGGGCACGGUGGCCCACACCCGUCAUCCCAGCACUUUGGGAGGGAGGCCAAGGCAGGAGGAUCGCUUCAAUCCAGGAGUUCAAGAUCAGCCUGGGCAACACAGCAAGACCCCGUCUCUACUAAAACCCUAAAACUUAGCCAGGCUUGGUGGCAUGUGCCUAAGGUCCCAGGUCCUCGGGAGACUAAGGCAGGAGGAUUGCUUAAGCCCAAGAGUUUGAGGCUGCAGUGAACUAUUAUCACACCACUGCACUCAGCCUGGGUGACAGAGUGACUCUGUCUCAAAACUAAAUAAAUAAACAAUAAUUGUGUUAUUCUG
rnacentral:lncRNA from 1 species